rnacentral:rRNA from 1 species
UACGUAGGGGGCAAGCGUUGUUCGGAUUUAUUGGGCGUAAAGCGCGUGUAGGCGGCCAGGUAGGUCCGUUGUGAAAACUCGAGGCUCAACCUCGAGACGUCGGCGGAAACCAUCUGGCUAGAGUCCGGAAGAGGAGAGUGGAAUUCCUGGUGUAGCGGUGAAAUGCGCAGAUAUCAGGAAGAACACCCGUGGCGAAGGCGGCUCUCUGGGACGGUACUGACGCUGAGACGCGAAAGCGUGGGGAGCGAACAGG